AUUGAACGCUGGCGGCAGGCCUAACACAUGCAAGUCGAACGAGUGGCGGACGGGUGAGUAAUGUCUGGGACACUGCCUGAUGGAGGGGGAUAACUACUGGAAACGGUAGCUAAUACCGCAUACCAUCGGAUGUGCCCUGAUGGGAUUAGCUAGUAGGUGGGGUAAAGGCUCACCUAGGCGACGAUCCCUAGCGGGUCUGAGAGGAUGACCGGCCACACUGGAACUGAGACACGGUCCAGACUCCUACGGGAGGCAGCAGUGGGGAAUAUUGCACAAUGGGCGCAAGCCUGAUGGAGCAAUGCCGCGUGUAUGAAGAAGGCCUUCGGUUUGUAAAGUACUUUUAGCGGGGAGGCGUUACCCACAGAAGAAGCACCGGCUAACUACGUGCCAGCAGCCGCGGUAAUUC
rnacentral:rRNA from 1 species